rnacentral:rRNA from 1 species
UACGAAGGGGGCUAGCGUUGCUCGGAAUCAUUGGGCGUAAAGGGCGCGUAGGUGGCCCGGUCAGUUCGUGGUGAAAGCGCGGGGCUCAACCCUGCGUCGGCCAUGAAUACUGCCGCGGCUGGAGCACUGUAGAGGCAGGCGGAAUUCCGGGUGUAGCGGUGGAAUGCGUAGAGAUCCGGAAGAACACCGGUGGCGAAGGCGGCCUGCUGGGCAGUUGCUGACACUGAGGCGCGACAGCGUGGGGAGCAAACAGG